CUCUGGCCCGCUCUCGCUGCCCCUGGCGCUGUCGCCGCCGCGGCUGCUGCUGCUGCUGUCUCUGCUGCCAGUGGCCAGGCCCUCAGAGGCUGAGCACCGUCUAUUUGAGCGGCUGUUUGAAGAUUACAAUGAGAUCAUCCGGCCUGUGGCCAACGUGUCUGACCCAGUCAUCAUCCAUUUCGAGGUGUCCAUGUCUCAGCUGGUGAAGGUGGAUGAAGUAAACCAGAUCAUGGAGACCAACCUGUGGCUCAAGCAAGUAAGUGACCAGACCCUAGGCACUGCUGCCCCCUGGUGGUGACUGUUUUAUUUGCUUUAGGUGAACCAAGAAAGGCCUAAAGACCAGGCUUCAUUUACUUCUGUGGAACCCAGAUUGGGGUCCACUGACUGGCAGAUAUAUCUCUUCUAAGGCUUGAGGUCACAUGCACUGCCCUACAGUCCCCCUGGAAGGACUGUAGGGCCCAACCCCUCAAGUCCCAGAUGGACAGGUUGCAGC
rnacentral:sRNA from 1 species